AUUUGGGUGGCAGAGCCAGGAAAUUGCAUAAGAUUUAAAAUCUUAAUUCCAGAGGUUCAAAUCCUCUCCCUAAUA
rnacentral:tRNA from 1 species